rnacentral:rRNA from 1 species
CCUACGGGAGGCAGCAGUGAGGAAUAUUGGUCAAUGGCCGGAAGGCUGAACCAGCCAUGCCGCGUGAAGGUCAGUGCCCUAUGGGCGUUAAACUUCUUUUGUGCGGGAGCAAUAAUGGUCACGUGUGGCCAGACGAGAGUACCGUACGAAUAAGCAUCGGCUUACUCCGUGCCAGCAGCCGCGGUAAUACGGGGGGUGCAAGCGUUAUCCGGAUUUAUUGGGUUUAAAGGGGGCGUAGGCUGUGAGGUAAGUCAGCGUGGAAAUGCCCCCGCUCAACGGGGUGAAGUGCCAUUGAUACUGCCUUGCUGGAGUGCGGAUGCCGUGGGAGGAAUGUGUGGUGUAGCGGUGAAAUGCAUAGAUAUCACACAGAACACCGAUUGCGAAGGCAUCUCACGAAUCCGCGAUUGACGCUGAUGCACGAAAGCGUGGGUAUCAAACAGGAUUAGAUACCCGUGUAGUC